rnacentral:rRNA from 1 species
GGUUAAGUUAAUAAGGGCGCACGGUGGAUGCCUUGGCACUAGGAGCCGAAGAAGGACGUGA